AUGCCAAAAAAGUCUCCAGGAGAAGACAGACAUGAUGGCAUUGCCGCUGCCUCGCGCGGCCUUCCUGCUGCUCCUCCUCCUCGUGGUGGUGGCCGUGCCGAGCCCCAUCUCGCAGCCGCCGGCGCCCACCGCGUCCCCGCUCCUCCGCCCCGACGCCGGCUCAGACAACGACAACGGAUCCGCUGCUUCCCCCGCCCCCGCACGCUCCCCCUGCGACUGCGAGGUCAAGGCGUCUCGCCGGCGCCGUCGUCGGCCCUGCACUCCGCCGCCACUGAAAAGGACGACGAGUACCACAAGAAGAAGCACAAGGCCCCGGCGGCGAUGGAUGUGAAGGCCGGCAGUGGCGGCGCGAGAGGAGAUGAGUGGCGCCAGCGGGACAAGGCGGGCGUGUUCCAUUUUUCUUCCUUUUACCGCUACAAGAAACAGGUGUACCGUCAUGAGUGCUGUGUGUACCUAGAGGACGGACGGUAA
rnacentral:rRNA from 1 species